GAUCCUGGCUCAGAUUGAACGCUGGCGGAAUGCUUUACACAUGCAAGUCGAGCGGCAGCGCGGGGCAACCUGGCGGCGAGCGGCGAACGGGUGAGUAACACAUCGGAACGUACCCUGUUGUGGGGGAUAGCCCGGCGAAAGCCGGAUUAAUACCGCAUAAGACCUGAGGGUGAAAGCGGGGGACCGCAAGGCCUCGCGCGACAGGAGCGGCCGAUGGCGGAUUAGCUAGUUGGUGGGGUAAAGGCUCACCAAGGCGACGAUCCGUAGCUGGUCUGAGAGGAUGAUCAGCCACACUGGAACUGAGACACGGUCCAGACUCCUACGGGAGGCAGCAGUGGGGAAUUUUGGACAAUGGGGGCAACCCUGAUCCAGCCAUUCCGCGUGAGUGAAGAAGGCCUUCGGGUUGUAAAGCUCUUUCGGCAGGAACGAAACGGUGGGCUCUAACAUAGUCUGCUAAUGACGGUACCUGAAGAAGAAGCACCGGCUAACUACGUGCCAGCAGCCGCGGUAAUACGUAGGGUGCGAGCGUUAAUCGGAAUUACUGGGCGUAAAGCGUGCGCAGGCGGUUUCGUAAGACAGAUGUGAAAUCCCCGGGCUUAACCUGGGAACUGCGUUUGUGACUGCGAGACUGGAGUGUGGCACAGGGGGGUGGAAUUCCACGUGUAGCA
rnacentral:rRNA from 1 species